UACGUAGGAGGCAAGCGUUGUCCGGAAUUACUGGGCGUAAAGCGCGUGUAGGUGGUGGGACAAGUCUGCUGUGAAAGCGCCUGGCUUAACCGGGCGAGGUCGGCGGAAACUGUCCGACUCGAGGACGGUAGAGGGGGGUGGAAUUCCCGGUGUAGUGGUGAAAUGCGUAGAGAUCGGGAGGAACACCCGUGGCGAAGGCGGCUCACUGGGCCGGUCCUGACGCUGAGACGCGAAGGCGUGGGGAGCGAACAGG
rnacentral:rRNA from 1 species